rnacentral:tRNA from 1 species
GGUGUCGUGGUGUAGUUGGUUAUCACGUCAGUCUAACACACUGAAGUCUCUGGUUCGAGUCCGGGCGACGCCA